GAUGAACGCUGGCGGCGUACUUAACACAUGCAAGUCGAACGAAGAUACUUAAAAUGAGAGCUUCGGCAGGAUUUUUAUUUAUUUUAGUGGCGGACGGGUGAGUAACGUGUGGGCAACCUGCCCUAUACUGGGGAAUAAUCACUGGAAACGGUGACUAAUACCGCAUGUCAUUACGGAAGGGCAUCCUUCUGUAAGAAAAGGAGAAAUUCGGUAUAGGAUGGGCCCGCAUCUGAUUAGCUAGUUGGUGAGAUAACAGCCCACCAAGGCGACGAUCAGUAGCCGACCUGAGAGGGUGAUCGGCCACAUUGGGACUGAGACACGGCCCAAACUCCUACGGGAGGCAGCAGUGGGGAAUAUUGCACAAUGGGGGAAACCCUGAUGCAGCAACGCCGCGUGAAGGAUGAAGGUUUUCGGAUCGUAAACUUCUAUCAAUAGGGACGAAGAAAGUGACGGUACCUAAAUAAGAAGCCCCGGCUAACUACGUGCCAGCCGCCGCGGUAAGAC
rnacentral:rRNA from 1 species